rnacentral:rRNA from 1 species
GAUGAACGCUAGCGGGAGGCUUAACACAUGCAAGUCGAGCGGUAUAGGUAGCAAUACUUAGAGAGCGGCGCACGGGUGAGUAACGCGUAUGCAACCUACCUUUUACAGAGGGAUAGCCCGGAGAAAUUCGGAUUAAUACCACAUGGCACUAUGGACCUGCAUGGGUUUAUAGUUAAAGAUUUAUCGGUAAGAGAUGGGCAUGCGUGACAUUAGCUAGUUGGUAGGGUAACGGCCUACCAAGGCGACGAUGUCUAGGGGUUCUGAGAGGAUGAUCCCCCACACUGGUACUGAGACACGGACCAGACUCCUACGGGAGGCAGCAGUGAGGAAUAUUGGUCAAUGGGCGCAAGCCUGAACCAGCCAUCCCGCGUGAAGGAUGAAGGCCCUAUGGGUCGUAAACUUCUUUUAUAUGCCAAGAAACGACCUACGAGUAGGUUUUUGACGGUAGUAUAUGAAUAAGCAUCGGCUAACUCCGUGCCAGCAGCCGCGGUAAUACGU